GUUAGUUCCUAUCAAGUCCUUUUUCUGUCCAUGGCCAUGUUUGCCAACACUACCACUAGAUCAAGGCCCGUAGGCCCGGCCACUAAGUCCCAUUGUCCUCUGGGACUUCUUCACCAUGUGACCGUAUCCUUAGUCAAGGUAUGAUUUGUAGUUUUUGUUCAUAAUCAUGUUUGGCAAUAACAGGAAACAACAACAAUCUUGAAAAACAUAGUUUAGGCCAGUUAAGGAAGAAGUCUGGCAUAUAAUUUGUAGAACAACUUGCAAAAGCACUACAUGACAAAAAUGUGAGCUUUAUUAAUACAAUGGAAGAAAGCUAGAAGGAAAUUUAUUGUCAAAAUCUGAAGAAGGAAGAAUUCAUGAAGCAUACUCUAAUUAUGGAUAGCCAAAUGGUGAAGAGUGUGGAUCAAGUAGCUCAAGCUUUGUUUGCAAUUGUUGAUUUUUUGGUAAAUUAAUUCAUUUUCUUAUUCAUGAACUUCACUUUUGUAAUUUACAGCGUCGCUGAUUACUAUCUCUGAAGCAAUGAAAAAGAUGAUGAACUAAUGAAGAUGUGAUGAUUUACUAGAAAAUAAAUUAGUUUUAGGAAUAGAUGAUUGAGGACACCAUCAAUUGGUAGAUUGUGUUCAAUCAACUUGUGGUUUGGACUCAAAGCCUUCUCAUUUGGCAUCUGGUCUUCAAUCAACUCAUCACUCAGAUCAUCAAUUGGGCUUGUUUUUGCACAAAAGAAAAAAAAAAAACAAAAACAAA
rnacentral:lncRNA from 1 species